GAGCAAUGAUAAAAAAUGUAUUAUUACUGACCUUUAUAACUGUUACGUUUUCUACACUUGAUCUGAGCUCA
ensembl:snoRNA